GAAUUCAACUCCUACGGGAGGCAGCAGUGGGGAAUAUUGCACAAUGGGGGAAACCCUGAUGCAGCUACGCCGCGUGAAGGAAGAAGUAUCUCGGUAUGUAAACUUCUAUCAGCAGGGAAGAAAAUGACGGUACCUGACUAAGAGGCCCCGGCUAACUACGUGCCAGCAGCCGCGGUAAUACGUAGGGGGCAAGCGUUAUCCGGAUUUACUGGGUGUAAAGGGAGCGUAGACGGAGCAGCAAGUCUGAUGUGAAAGGCAGGGGCUCAACCCUUGGACUGCAUUGGAAACUGUUGAUCUUGAGUACCGGAGGGGUAAGCGGAAUUCCUAGUGUAGCGGUGAAAUGCGUAGAUAUUAGGAGGAACACCAGUGGCGAAGGCGGCUUACUGGACGGUAACUGACGUUGAGGCUCGAAAGCGUGGGGAGCAAACAGGAUUAGAAACCCUAUAGUCCAGGCGUU
rnacentral:rRNA from 1 species